UACGGGGGAGGCUAGUGUUAUUCGUAAUGAUUGGGCGUAAAGGGUAUGUAGGCGAUUUUACAAGUUAUUAAUCAAAUAUUAAAUUAUAAGUUUGAUUUUGGGUUUUAAUACUGUAUUAAAAUUGAGUUCAAAAUAGGAUUGCGGUACUCUCAGUGUAGAGGUAAAAUUCAUAGAUACUGGAUGGGGACCAUCAAUAGGCGAAGGCGGCAAUCUGAUUUGAUACUGACGCUGAUAUACUAAAAGCAUGGGGGAGCGAACAGG
rnacentral:rRNA from 1 species